GAAGGGAUAGGAUAAGGUAAUCUACUGGGCUCAUCCCCCAGCGAUACUGUCUAAUAAGCAGUUCCCUUUA
rnacentral:tRNA from 1 species